rnacentral:lncRNA from 1 species
CCGGCCCAGGGCGUGUCCCCCAGCCCCAGCGCCAUCCUGGAGCGCCGCGACGUCAAGCCGGACGAGGACCUGGCGGGCAAGAACGUGGUGCUGGUGAAGAACGAGGGGCUCUACGCCGAUCCCUACGGGAUGGUGCACGAGGGGCGGCUCAGCAUCACCUCCACGCAGUCGCUGGCGGGCAUGGGGGACCCCUUUGGCUACUCGGGGGGGCUCUACAAGCGGGGCUCAGUGCGGUCACUCAGCACCUACUCGGCGGCCGCGCUGCAGACGGAGCUGGAGGACGGUCUGUACAAGCCCAACGCGCCCAUCUACGGCGACACGUACGGGCCCGGGCUGGGCUUCCGCAUGCCGCCCUCGUCCCCGCAGAAGAUGGUGGAGCCCGGGCAGAGCCCCCACAGCCCCUACUCGGGCCCGCCGAGCCGCUCCUCGCCGGUCCGUCAGUCCUUCCGCAAGGAUUCCUGCUCCUCCGUCUUCAUGGACGGCCCCGUGGGCAAAACGCGCAACCCCAGCUCGUCCGGGCCUCCCGAGAUGUUCCCCGGCCCCGGAGAGCGGCCGCUCUCGGGAUUCGGAUCGCCCGGGCCGGCCAAGGACACGGAGACCAGGUGAGAGGAGGGGUGGUGUGCUCGUCCUGGGGUGCUCCAGCUUGAGUUUGCACCUGGGAUGAUCCAGGUUGUGUUUGCACCUGGGAUGAUCCAAGUUCUUCUGGUUUUGUGUUUGCACCUUGGGUGAUCCAGGUUUUCCUGGAUUUGUGUUUGCACCUGGGAUGAUCCAGGUUCUUCUGGAUUUGUGUUUGCACCUGGCAUGAUCCAGGUUUUCCUGGAAUUGUCUUUGCACCUGGGAUAUUCCAGGAUUUUACGGAUUGGUGUUUUGCACCUGGGAUGUGCCAGGUUGUAUUUGCACCUGGGAUGAUCCAAGUUCUUCUGGAUUUGUGUUUGCACGUGGGAUGCUCCAGCUUAUCCUGGAUUUGUGUUUGCACCUGGGAUGCUCCAGGUUGUGUUUGCACCUGGGAUGCUCCAGGUUUUCCGUUGCCUUUGGAAUCCCCGGUGCUUUUGGGGUUUUUUAUCAGCUGGAGGGGGAAGAGGAGCGGACAGGGAGAAGGAGGAGGAGGAGAAGGAGCAGAGGAAGGCGCUGCCCCGUCCCCACCGCGGUGGGGAAUGGAUGCGAGCACAGGGAGGGAAUGAGGAGCACGGUGACAGCCGUGUCCCCAGCUCUGGGGGCGGCAGGGACGGGCCGUGAGCAGGGCCAGGAGCUGCCCGUGGUGGCAGACGCAGCUGGUGACCCAUCCCCGUCCCUUUCCCGGCGCAGGGAGCGGAUGGAGGCCAUGGAGAAGCAGAUCGCCAGCCUGACGGGGCUGGUGCAGAGCGCGCUGCUCCGUGGCUCCGAGGCCGAGACCCCCAGCGAGAAGACCGAAGCCACCAAUGGCGGGACCCCCCCAUCAGCGUGUGAGUGACCCCUGGCCCUGCAGGACCCCCCGUGGGUGUCCCAGGGUGGGCUCUGCAGCCCCCCACCGUGUGCUGGUG